CUUUGGUCUGUAACUGACGCNGAGGAGCGAAAGCGUGGGGNGCGAACAGGAUUAGAUACCCUGGUAGUCCACGCCGUAAACGAUGAGUGCUAAGUGUUAGGGGGUUUCCGCCCCUUAGUGCUGCAGCUAACGCAUUAAGCACUCCGCCUGGGGAGUACGGUCGCAAGACUGAAACUCAAAGGAAUUGACGGGGGCCCGCACAAGCGGUGGAGCAUGUGGUUUAAUUCGAAGCAACGCGAAGAACCUUACCAGGUCUUGACAUCCUCUGACAAUCCUAGAGAUAGGACGUCCCCUUCGGGGGCAGAGUGACAGGUGGUGCAUGGUUGUCGUCAGCUCGUGUCGUGAGAUGUUGGGUUAAGUCCCGCAACGAGCGCAACCCUUGAUCUUAGUUGCCAGCAUUCAGUUGGGCACUCUAAGGUGACUGCCGGUGACAAACCGGAGGAAGGUGGGGAUGACGUCAAAUCAUCAUGCCCCUUAUGACCUGGGCUACACACGUGCUACAAUGGACAGAACAAAGGGCAGCGAAACCGCGAGGUUAAGCCAAUCCCACAAAUCUGUUCUCAGUUCGGAUCGCAGUCUGCAACUCGACUGCGUGAAGCUGGAAUCGCUAGUAAUCGCGGAUCAGCAUGCCGCGGUGAAUACGUUNNCGGGCCUUGUACACACCGCCCGUCACACCACGAGAGUUUGUAACACCCGAAGUCGGUGAGGUAACCUUUUAGGAGC
rnacentral:rRNA from 1 species